rnacentral:rRNA from 1 species
UGUUUCGGCUAGGGGGUCAUCCCGACUUACCAACCCGAUGCAAACUACGAAUACCGAAGAAUGUUAUCACGGGAGACACACGGCGGGUGCUAACGUCCGUCGUGAAGAGGGAAACAACCCAGACCGCCAGCUAAGGUCCCAAAGUCAUGGUUAAGUGGGAAACGAUGUGGGAAGGCACAGACAGCCAGGAUGUUGGCUUAGAAGCAGCCAUCAUUUAAAGAAAGCGUAAUAGCUCACUGGUCGAGUCGGCCUGCGCGGAAGAUGUAACGGGGCUAAACCAUGCACCGAAGCUGCGGCAGCGACACUAUGUGUUGUUGGGUAGGGGAGCGUUCUGUAAGCCUGCGAAGGUGUGCUGUGAGGCAUGCUGGAGGUAUCAGAAGUGCGAAUGCUGACAUAAGUAACGAUAAAGCGGGUGAAAAGCCCGCUCGCCGGAAGACCAAGGGUUCCUGUCCAACGUUAAUCGGGGCAGGGUGAGUCGACCCCUAAGGCGAGGCCGAAAGGCGUAGUCGAUGGGAAACAGGUUAAUAUUCCUGUACUUGGUGUUACUGCGAAGGGGGGACGGAGAAGGCUAUGUUAGCCGGGCGACGGUUGUCCCGGUUUAAGCAUGUAGGCUGGUUAUCCAGGCAAAUCCGGAUAACCAAGGCUGAGGUGUGAUGACGAGGCACUACGGUGCUGAAGUAACAAAUGCCCUGCUUCCAGGAAAAGCCUCUAAGCAUCAGGUAACAUCAAAUCGUACCCCAAACCGACACAGGUGGUCAGGUAGAGAAUACCAAGGCGCUUGAGAGAACUCGGGUGAAGGAACUAGGCAAAAUGGUGCCGUAACUUCGGGAGAAGGCACGCUGGUGUGUAGGUGAAGCCCCUGCGGGUGGAGCUGAGACCAGUCGAAGAUACCAGCUGGCUGCAACUGUUUAUUAAAAACACAGCACUGUGCAAACACGAAAGUGGACGUAUACGGUGUGACGCCUGCCCGGUGCCGGAAGGUUAAUUGAUGGGGUUAUCCGUAAGGAGAAGCUCUUGAUCGAAGCCCCGGUAAACGGCGGCCGUAACUAUAACGGUCCUAAGGUAGCGAAAUUCCUUGUCGGGUAAGUUCCGACCUGCACGAAUGGCGUAAUGAUGGCCAGGCUGUCUCCACCCGAGACUCAGUGAAAUUGAACUCGCUGUGAAGAUGCAGUGUACCCGCGGCAAGACGGAAAGACCCCGUGAACCUUUACUAUAGCUUGACACUGAACAUUGAGCCUUGAUGUGUAGGAUAGGUGGGAGGCUUUGAAGCGUGGACGCCAGUCUGCGUGGAGCCAACCUUGAAAUACCACCCUUUAAUGUUUGAUGUUCUAACGUUGGCCCCUUACCGGGGUUGCGGACAGUGUCUGGUGGGUAGUUUGACUGGGGCGGUCUCCUCCCAAAGCGUAACGGAGGAGCACGAAGGUUAGCUAAUCCUGGUCGGACAUCAGGAGGUUAGUGCAAUGGCAUAAGCUAGCUUGACUGCGAGCGUGACGGCGCGAGCAGGUGCGAAAGCAGGUCAUAGUGAUCCGGUGGUUCUGAAUGGAAGGGCCAUCGCUCAACGGAUAAAAGGUACUCCGGGGAUAACAGGCUGAUACCGCCCAAGAGUUCAUAUCGACGGCGGUGUUUGGCACCUCGAUGUCGGCUCAUCACAUCCUGGGGCUGAAGUAGGUCCCAAGGGUAUGGCUGUUCGCCAUUUAAAGUGGUACGCGAGCUGGGUUUAGAACGUCGUGAGACAGUUCGGUCCCUAUCUGCCGUGGGCGCUGGAGAAUUGAGGGGGGCUGCUCCUAGUACGAGAGGACCGGAGUGGACGCAUCACUGGUGUUCGGGUUGUCAUGCCAAUGGCACUGCCCGGUAGCUAAAUGCGGAAGAGAUAAGUGCUGAAAGCAUCUAA